rnacentral:rRNA from 1 species
CGCAUCUGUGCAUGCAGCAUAUCAAUAAGCGGAGGAAAAGAAACUAACAAGGAUUCCCUUAGUAACGGCGAGUGAAGCGGGAAGAGCUCAAAUUUGAAAUCUUCAAGGUUUUACCUUGACGAAUUGUAGUUUAAAGAAGUGUUUUCUGUUGGAGUUUUGGUAAAAGUUCUUUGGAAUAGGACAUCAUAGAGGGUGAGAAUCCCGUAUUUGACCAUUAUUUUCAGCUGUGUGAUACACUUUCAAAGAGUCGGAUUGUUUGGGAAUGCAGUCCAAAAUGGGUGGUAAAUUUCAUCUAAAGCUAAAUAUUGGCGAGAGACCGAUAGCGAACAAGUACCGUGAGGGAAAGAUGAAAAGAACUUUGAAAAGAGAGUUAAACAGUACGUGAAAUUGUCAAAAGGGAAGCGUUUGACACCAGUGUUGUUUUCUCGAAAAUCAAUUAAAAAGAGUUAGAUUUUGUUGUGUAUUGACCUUAACAGCUUGCAUUUCAAUUUUCUUGCUUUUUUUAAUGCACUUUUCGUUUAACAAGUCGACAUCAGUUUCUUUUGUUGUAAAAAGGUCAUUGGAAGGUGGCUUUCUUUUCGGAGAAAGUGUUUAUAGCCUUUGACUCCUGCAAUCGGAGAGACUGAGGUCUGCAGCGUAGAUCCUUCGGGGUUAGAUACAUUUGUGCUAAGUUAUAGCUUUUCAUAGACAACUUGUUGACUAUGAUUUAGUCUUGUAGCUUACCUCGCUUAUGCUAUUUUACCUACGCUUAGGAUGUUGACGCGCGUGUGUGCGUG